GACGAACGCUGGCGGCGUGCUUAACACAUGCAAGUCGAACGAUGAAGCCUUUCGGGGUGGAUUAGUGGCGAACGGGUGAGUAACACGUGGGUAAUCUGCCUUGCACUCUGGGAUAAGCCUGGGAAACUGGGUCUAAUACCGGGUAUGACUACUUCACGCAUGUGGGGUGGUGGAAAGUUCUGGCGGUGUGAGAUGAACCCGCGGCCUAUCAGCUUGUUGGUGGGGUGAUGGCCACCAAGGCGACGACGGGUAGCCGGCCUGAGAGGGCGACCGGUCACACUGGGACUGAGACACGGCCCAGACUCCUACGGGAGGCAGCAGUGGGGAAUAUUGCACAAUGGGCGAAAGCCUGAUGCAGCGACGCCGCGUGAGGGAUGACGG
rnacentral:rRNA from 1 species